AAGGUAGCAUAAUAAUUUGCCGCUUAAUUAGUGGCUAGUAUGAACGGACAAACGCAAGCCCCCCUGUCUCACCAACAUAAAUAAAAAUUAACUUUUAGGUGAAGAGGCCUAAAUUAAAUAAAAAGACAAAAAGACCCUGUGGAGCUUUAUUCAAACCCUCUAUCUACCUGUCCAGCACAACCCCCCCAGAGGCUAUAAAUUUAGUUGGGGCGACUUGGGAAAACUAUAGAUCUUCCCCCAAAAAAAGAAACACUCUACCAAUAAUCCGCCACGCGAAUAAAAAUCCAGCUACCCCAGGGAUAACAGGCUAAUUCUUCCCAAGAGCCCAAAUUAACGGAAGAGAUUGGCACCUCGAUGUUGGCUUAGGGUUCCUACAAGAUGUAGAAGUCUUGAAAGUGGGUUUGUUCAACCCUUAAAACCCUACGUGAUCUGAGUUCA
rnacentral:rRNA from 1 species